UAACUAUUAUUUUUGAGUUCAUUCAACAUCUAUCAGAGAUUUAAGUUAACAGUAAAUAUUGUUUUGAGUUUUUACAACUACACUAAAGUUAAGAGUUUAUGGAACUUGAAAAAUAGAUUAAACCAUAAUCAAAUAUUUUAAUGUCAAACAUACGCCCUCUAGUGGCGGUUUUUACCCAAGAGUGACGUCAUCGCUGAACGUGCACGCGCGUGUUUCCACAGAUACCCAGAUGUUCGCGCAUGCAGGGCAGUUGGAUUCGAGAGCUGUCCAAAUACAUGUAUUUUUAUUUCGAUGGCUACAAAAAUAUGCAAGUAUUCAGCUGUUUCAAAUAAUGUUGCAGUCUAAUUAUAGUCGAUAUCGGCUACACUCACACCAUCCACACACGUUAGGUUUUCCAGUUAAUACAAUGUGUACAGUUUUUCAGAAUAUUUAGAAUUAGCUACCAGUUAAAGUGUACAAACAUAUCUAAAUGUCUCUAACGUUAGGAUAUUAAAUGAUGCAGCGCACAUGCAUUAUUUAUGUUAACGUUAGGUCUUUCUGAACAUUUCGUCGUGUAUUUUUUCUAUACGUGAAGUCAGCUGCAGGUUAUCUGAUGAAAGUACCUGUUCUAUCUGUUUAAAAGUCAUAUAAAAGUCAUCUGAACCUAACAGGCCUGUCGAGUCCACGUUGUUCCCGCAAUUCCAGUUCCUAAGGUGGAGUCAGCUGCAGAUCAUUUGAUGAAAAUCCAUGUUCAAUCUGUUUUAUUUGUGUUAUCAUUUCUUCGACCUUUUGCUGCAUAAAAGUAACUUACGCAGGAAUGAGAUCAUUACCAGUCCAUCACCAGUGAAAGAGAUCCUUGGACGCUGGCCAGCUCUACGUUUGAAAUCACAGGUAUGUGCUGAAUUUCAGCGCAUUACCAACCAGAAUUUGACAAACACAUUUUACGCAGAGCUAGACCGCCACAGUUUUCGCCUGAUGACUUUAUAUCGACAGAGAGCAGCGAAGACUGGAAAAACUGCUGAUGCACUUGCUGAAUUUCUUCGGGGUCAUGACUUAAAGGAUCAACAUGAUGUACACACAAGCUGAACAACAGUGCUCUGUGUGCUUCCUGUGUAUCUGAGAGAAGACGCCUCAAAAUUCUUUAAAACAUGCACGAUUGAAGAUGAAUUAGAAGAGCCAGAUGUUGAUUCAUCAGUUGCCCUUUUGACCUUCGUCCGAGAACUCCCAGACAUUGCUCUUCAGCACAAUCAAGAGAAGAUUUCGAUCAUCCUUGAGAAUGAAGUUGUCAUAACAGGCCUGCAGAGACUCUCUGAUGCUUUCCUUUUGAUGUUUGGCUUAAUCUAUGCAUUGGAUCUUUCAUAUCCAAAAGAGAUGGCCAACACAUUUGAGUUUAUUCAGAAGGUUCUUUUGGGUCUUGAUGAUGGCAAACUUAAGCCAAGGGUGCUGGCUCUAAAGAAUGACUUGCUGAUUCAUGCACAGUAAUUUUAUACUGUUUGCCUGUGUUGUGUUGUUUUCUUUGAUAUCAGGCAUAUGUGCAAGAUUUCAACAAGAGUUCUUAUUAAAAGAAUGGUGCUUUGCCUAAAAUGUAAACAAAAACAAAAAUAGCAAUUUCUUCUGUCACAAAGUUCAAUAAAAUUUGUAGACAGCAGAUCAAGAAAGCUUAUUCCUGUUUUGUAUUCAUUAAGGUAAUAUUUUAAUUGAUUUUCUUUGACCAGGUGUGCCUUUUUUUGUAGCACAGAACUGUUUUCACUGUUUUUGUUGGCAUAAUGGCUGUUUAGGUAAUAUUUAAAUGUAUUUUCUUUGACCUGGUGUGCCUUUUUGUUGCACAGAACUGUUUAA